rnacentral:rRNA from 1 species
UAAUGGCGAAUGAAACGGAAAUAGCCCAAAUUUGAAAUCUCUGGUGUAAACCAGCGAGUUGUAAUUUGKAGAAAUGUGUGUCCAGAGUAUCUUUACUAUUCAAGUCCAUUGGAACAUGGCGUACUUUUGUACUCUUAGUCAUAGAGGGUGAAAACCCCGUGGGUAAUGGUAACUGAUGCCCGAAUGUGUCCACAUUUCAAAGAGUCGGAUUGUUUGGGGAUUGCAAUCCAAAAUGGGUGGUAAACUCCAUCCAAGGCUAAAUAUCUGCAAGAGACCGAUAGCGAACAAGUACCGUGAGGGAAAGAUGAAAAGAACUCUGGRRGAGAGAGUUCAACAGUACGUGAAAUUGCUGAAAGGGAAAUGCUUAGAAUGAUUGUUGUUUUUUAAAAGGUCAUCUCUCGGGGUGCUCCCUUUUUUUAAGCAGGUCAGCAUCAGUUUUUUUAAGAAAAGACACUUUAAAGGGAGGUUUCUUUUUAUUUCGGUAAGAAGAGUUAUAACCUUUAUUUUGUACUUCUUAAAAAGACUGAGGUAUGCUACUGUUGACGGUUUUAAAAGCUUUCUUUCUUGUAAUAAGAUGGCCUUAAGGUUUCUUAAGACUUUUUGCUACAAGGAAAAAAACUCUUUUAAGGCCAAAACAUGUAUUGGAUGCUGACAAAAUGAUUCUAAUCGACCCGUCUUGAAACACGGACCAAGGAGUGCAAYUAACAUGCGAGUCAUAAGGUACCAAACCUAAAGGCGUAAUGAAAGUAAGUAAUCAGGAAUAUUUCUCUUKAAAUAGGCACUGAUGCCCGGUCUUGCGGUAAUACCAAAGGAUCUGCGGCCAAGCAUGUUGGAUGCGACCCGAAAGAUGGUGAACUAUGCCUGCAUAGGGCGAAGCCAGAGGAAACUCUGGUGGAGGCUCGUAGCGAUUCUGACGUGCAAAUCGAUCGUCAAAUGUGGGUAUAGGGGCGAAAGACUAAUCGAACCWKCUAGUAGSUGGUUUCCGCCGAAGUUUCCCUCAGGAUAGCAGAGAUUCGACUCGUAGUUUUAUGAGGUAAAGCGAAUGAUUAGAGGCAUGGGGGGCGAAACGCUUCUCACCUAUUCUCAAACUUUAAAUGUGUAAGAUGCUCGUGUUUCUUUAUUGAACUUGGGCUGAGAAUACAGAAUCUCUAGUGGGCCAUUUUUGGUAAGCAGAACUGGCGAUGCGGGAUGAACCGAACGCAGAGUUACGGUGCCAAAGUAUACGCUUAUUUAGAUACCAUAAAAGGUGUUGGUUCAUCUAGACAGCAGGACGGUGGCCAUGGAAGUCGGAAUCCGCUAAGGAGUGUGUAACAACUCACCUGCCGAAUGAACUAGCCCUGAAAAUGGAUGGCGCUCAAGCGUAUCACCUAUACUUUGCCCUAAGUGUACUUUUUUAAGACAUGCUUAGGAGUAGGCGGACGUGGAGGUUGCGUGGAAGUG